rnacentral:rRNA from 1 species
UCGCGGUGAAUACGUUCCCGGGUCUUGUACACACCGCCCGUCACACCAUGAAAGUGACCAACACCCGAAGUCCGAUUCGUCGGCCUAAGGUGGGGGGCAUGAUUGGGGUU